GACAGAGGGUGCAAACGUUGUUCGGAAUUACUGGGCGUAAAGCGCGUGUAGGCUGCUCUGCAAGUCGGGUGUGAAAGCCCUGGGCUCAACCUAGGAAGUGCACCCGAAACUGCGUAGCUAGAGUCCUGGAGAGGAAGGUGGAAUGCUUGGUGUAGAGGUGAAAUUCGUAGAUAUCAAGCGGAACACCGGUGGCGAAGGCGGCCUUCUGGACAGUGACUGACGCUGAGGCGCGAAAGCUAGGGGAGCGAACGGG
rnacentral:rRNA from 1 species